rnacentral:rRNA from 1 species
GACGAACGCUGGCGGCGUGCUUAACACAUGCAAGUCGAACGGAAAGGCCCUGCUUUUGUGGGGUGCUCGAGUGGCGAACGGGUGAGUAACACGUGAGUAACCUGCCCUUGACUUUGGGAUAACUUCAGGAAACUGGGGCUAAUACCGGAUAGGAGCUCCUGCUGCAUGGUGGGGGUUGGAAAGUUUCGGCGGUUGGGGAUGGACUCGCGGCUUAUCAGCUUGUUGGUGGGGUAGUGGCUUACCAAGGCUUUGACGGGUAGCCGGCCUGAGAGGGUGACCGGCAAAAUGGGGACUGGGAUACGGCCCAGACUCCUACGGGAGGCAGCAGUGGGAAAUAUUGCACAAUGGGCGGAAGCCUGAUGCAGCAACGCCGCGUGCGGGAUGACGGCCUUCGGGUUGUAAACCGCUUUCGCCUGUGACGAAGCGUGAGUGACGGUAAUGGGUAAAGAAGCACCGGCUAACUACGUG